rnacentral:rRNA from 1 species
CAAUAGCGUAUAUUAAAGUUGUUGCGGUAAAAAAGCUCGUAGUUGGAUUUCUACCGAAGAUAGCCGGUCGGGUCUUCGACCUUGUAUCUGGUUUUGUCUUUGGUAUCCUUAUAGGGAACGUUUCUGCGCUUUAUUGCGUGGUGCGGUAUCUAUGACUUUUACUUUGAGGAAAUUAGAGUGUUCACGGCAGGCAAACGCCUUGAAUAUAUUAGCAUGGAAUAAUAACAUAGGAUCUUCGUCCUAUUUUGUUGGUUUCUAGGGCUAAGAUAAUGAUUAAUAGGGAUAAUUGGGGGCAUCUGUAUCAACGCGUCAGAGGUGGAAUUCUUGGAUUGCGUUGCGACAAACUACUGCGAAAGCAUUUGCCAAGGAUGUUUUCAUUGA